AACGAACGCUGGCGGCAUGCCUAACACAUGCAAGUCGAACGAAGCCUUCGGGCUUAGUGGCGCACGGGUGCGUAACGCGUGGGAAUCUGCCUCUUGCUUCGGAAUAACAGUUAGAAAUGACUGCUAAUACCGGAUGAUGUCUUCGGACCAAAGAUUUAUCGGCAAGAGAUGAGCCCGCGUAGGAUUAGGUAGUUGGUGGGUAAAGGCCUACCAAGCCGACGAUCCUUAGCUGGUCUGAGAGGAUGAUCAGCCACACUGGGACUGAGACACGGCCCAGACUCCUACGGGAGGCAGCAGUGGGGAAUAUUGGACAAUGGACGCAAGUCUGAUCCAGCAAUGCCGCGUGAGUGAUGAAGGCCUUAGGGUUGUAAAGCUCUUUUACCAGGGAUGAUAAUGACAGUACCUGGAGAAUAAGCUCCGGCUAACUCCGUGCCAGCCGCCGCCGUAACAC
rnacentral:rRNA from 1 species